rnacentral:lncRNA from 1 species
AUACACCUUUUAUUCAUUUUUAUUUUCCUACACUUAUGUACAGGAAUUAUUUUUAUACUCAGAAAACCUAACAAAAGUUAAUCUUUGAACUCAUCAGAAAAAAUUAAAACAAGAAAUAAAAUGUUAACAGGACACUUUUAUGUGUGUGAAGUUUUUACCCUCUUUUAAAUACUUUUCCACAGUCUAAAUUUCCCUUUAAAAAAAAAUCAGGUUAUGAAAUAAAGAUCUAUUUCCAAUCCUUUCAGUCACCUAAAGUUUCCAUAUCUGUACGGAAGGAAUUCCAGAUUUAAUUAGUAGUAUAGCAAAGCAUCAGUCAGCCGUUUUAUGAUUACCAGAAGACCUGUCAACGCUGGAAUUACAGAGUAAAAGGACGGAGGUGGGAUGUAUGAGGCUGAACCUAGGGGCUAUAGAUGGAGCAGUUAAUGUACCUGGCUAAAUAAUAUUUAUUGGGAGUUCCCUCGUGGCACAGUGGGUUAAGGAUCUGGUGUUGUCACUGUAGUGGCUUAGGUCACUACCAUGGCAUGGGUUGGAUCCCUGGCCCAGGAAUUUCUACAUGCCAUAGGCACAGCCAAAAAAAAUCAAAACCAACCAAUAUGUAUUUAACUACAAAGCAACAGGGUCAAACAUCAUAGAAGGCAGAUACCUUUUUUCAAUAAAGGAAAAAACUUGUGCAGUGUAGAAGCAGGACAAUACCAUCUCAGCAUGUCAGAAUCAGCACCAAAAAUUAAAUAUAUCAAACUCUGAACAACAAAAAAAAAAAAAAAAAAAAAAAAGGAAGUUUUUUUGUGGCACAACAGGGUUAAGGAUCUGCUGCAACUUCUACAUGCAAUGGGAGUGGUCAAAAAAAAAAAUCAAAACAAAAAGCUAUGUAAAAAAAUAAAGGAAUUUGGAGUUCCCGUCGUGGCUCAGUGGUUAACGAAUCCAACUAGGAACCAUGAGGUUGCAGGUCUGAUCCCUGGCCUUGCUCAGUGGGCCAAGGAUCAAACCUGCACCCUCAUGGAUGCUAGUCAGGUUUGUUAACCACUGAGCUAUGAGAGGGACUCUUCUCCAAGUACUCUGAAUGUACCUACACAAUCUGGGGAGUUGGCAGCUGUCAAAAACUCCAUGAAAAAAGGGAGGUAGCUAUUAAGACUUGGAGACGUUUUCUGCUUAUUAUUUUAGAUUAGGGCAAGCAGCCUCCCUUUGAUGUUUUGACAUAAAAGAUGAAAACUUAGCAUCUUUGAAGCAUAAUAAACAUAAUUAUAUACACUUACUACCAUCACCUAAACUUUGACUUACACAACACCACAAAAAGACAUCUAACAAACACUGUUCUACUUAUCUUUUUACAUUUGCUAAAACAGCUAUGUUGAAUACAUUUUUAAAAUGCAUUGUUAACCAUUUGAUAAACAUACUAAGCCAAACAAUACAAAUUACAUCAAUUACCUCUUUAAUCUAAUAACUGUACCAAUCACUGUAAGAAGAUACAACUGAAGUGGAAGUAUGGGAUCAUCCAUGAUGCACUGCAAAAGUAUUACAGCUUGGUCCUAAGAAUGAUCUGAAGGUGCUGAUAGAGGUGAUUCUCUAGAAGGUGAUCCAGGGUUUUCUUCAGGUGGAAAAACUGUGAGAGUACAAGCUCGAAUGCCACCAAGUGAUUCUGGAAGAUCAAAAACUUUAUGCCACUCAUCCUUUUCUGGGUCGUAUUUUUGGACAAUUUCCACCAUACAACGAUUAUUCCAAGAAUAUCCACCUACAACAUAGAUUUUAUUUUCAAAGACGGCAACUCCAACAUCACUCUGGCCUCUUAACAUGGCAGCAAUUGGUGUCCACUGGUCAAGGGUUGGUGAAUAGUAUUCACAGCUUAGAACAUCAUCAUAAUCACUUGUUCCUCUGAAGUGAUUGCCACCAAUGACAUAGAGCUUAUCUCCAACUGUACACAUGCAGUGCAGACCUCUGACUGUAGUCAUUGGAGCCUUCUGUGUCCAUUUGUCCGUAUCAGGGUCAAAACACAUGAGCUCGUUUUGGAAAGUGUCAUGAGUAAUUCCUCCUGAAAUAUACAUUAAGCCUCCAUAUACUGUUCCAGCAUGGCCAUAGUGGGGUUCAUUCAUUUUUGCAACAUAGCUCCACUCAUUCAUUCUUGGAUUGUAACAUUCUACUGUGGCCAAUUCACCAGCUGCACUUCGCCCACCAACAGCAUACAAAUGCCCUUUCAGAGCACUUAAGUGGAAAAAUGUGCGCUUUUCAUUUAAUGAUGCAACCUGCAUCCAUUUAUUAUACCGGGGAUCAAAUCUGAAAACUGUAUCAACAGCAGUUUUUCCUUUUGUAUCAUAAUUACUUUGACCACCAACAACAUAAAGAAAGUUUCCAAUGACAGCAAUGCCAUGCUGGUAACGAGGAGCAUCCAUGGGGGCUAAAGACCUCCACUCUUGAGCUCUUUCAUCAUACAUCCGUAAUUCUUUACUGACAACCAGCUGCUGCCUCAAAACUCCUCCUAAUGUAACCAAGUGGGUAGAGUCAGAUCUAAUGGCAGUUCUAUCUGACUGCAUCACUGGCUGCAUAUAUGGCAUCAUUUGGUAAUUGCUAGCUUCCAAAAGCAAAUUCACACAAGUAUUGUCUGUUCUCAUGAAAUCUACUGUCUGCACAUAAUUGAUGAGAUCCUGUGGUGUCAUCAGUGGAAAUCGAAUGUUCUUCAUUAAUUUUGCAGCAUAAUCCAUCCGAGGGUCUUCCAACCUUAGCCAGCGACACGCAGCCUUGAAAAGCUCAAGUUCAGUACAGUGCUUAAGACUGUUGCUGGAAAGCACAAAGGCAAGCCGUUCAAAAGGGAGUUUUAGAAACUCCCCAGUACUCAAUAAUGCAGGAAAAUUCUUCAGGAUGAAAUUAUUGACAUAUUUAUCUACUUCUAUAAGAUUGUAGGUGUUAGCAAUUCGUCCAACUUCAACACAGUUAUCUAAAGAGACUCCUGAAAUAAGAAACACUUUACAGAAGUCCAAAACAGGUAGAAUUUGCAAAAAGCUGGCAGCUUCAAGUGUGUCCUGAAGAUUGUCCAUAUUAAGAGAAAGUUUUGCAGUAUAAAUAAAAUCAAUUAUUUUCUUCAGACCAACUUUGUUCACACCAUGAAGCUUAAUGCACAUUAAAUCUUGUUCUUUCAUUCCACCUGUGAACAUAGCCUUGAAAUAAUCACUAGCAGACGCCAUCAUAGCUCGAUGAACAGGGAAGAUUUCAUCUCCAUCACCUGGUACCAGAGUCACAUCACAAAGCAAUCCUUCUAUUCUAAGCUGAUCAAAGCCUUGCAAUACCACCGAACUGUGAGUAUUGCUGGUAAAAAACCGUGUGGUUCCUGUCUUGCAAGGCUGUAAAUGGGCAGAGACGCCCAUUUCACCGUUACCAAGAGACACUUUCAUGUGAAAGCCUUCCUGUUGCACAAAGAUGUAUGCCGGACAAGGAGGUUACGACCUGCAAGCUUUAAAGGAACCGAGGAUGUCCCAAGAGCAAGAGAGCUCGCGUUCCUUAUCCACAAGGGCAAACAAUCGCCGUGGCGCCUCUCAGAACACACCAGCCAUACACUGAAUAUUGUUCUGCAGCAGGACCACAAAGGGCUGUGGACCUCAAAUCUGAUUAUUAUGUAGAUGAUUCAACACCUGAAAGCAGUUAAGUGACCCGGUUCACCUCGUCCGGCCUGUGCUGCCGCUCCUCCUGCAGUUCCGCUGCCGGCAAAGGGGGAGGUGCCGCCACGUCCUGCGGUUCCACGGCUCGCUCGGCGGCGAGGCCGGGCACCUCAGCGAGCAGCCCGCUUCGCCCUCUACUAACCCUGGUGCGUCGCCACGGCUACGGACCCGUCUUUGAGCAGGGGCCUGGAACAGCGGCCUGGGCCUGGGAAACGGGCCGAGCCCCGGGACGCGGAGCCGCUCCUUCCGGAAAG